ACGACUAAGCGCACGUAAACAAUUUAACAACAAUUUCAAAUUUGAUUACACAAAUAACUGUAUACAAUUUAUGUAUACAAGUUAUAAUAUUCAAUUAAUAUCUUGAUAAAGAAUUAUGGAAUAUUUGUCAAAGUAUCGUUUGCGUUUACACAGAAAUUUCUUCUAGCUGAAAAUAUCAUUGAACCACAUAAAAAGAAAUACCAUUCUUAAAUCCUCUGCAGCUAAGUAUAGAGAAACAGAAAAGUGUCCAAUGAAUUCUUUAUUCGAUAAUGCACGAAAAUACCCCAACUCGAUAUACAAGCAUGAGCUACCGUUCAGCAUAAAGACCAACAGUAAUAAAUGAUUAAUGGCGUUCAUAGUAUCAAUAGGGAGCAGUGAACGUCGAAUCAAUAUAAAGACUAUGAAUGAUGUAUUACUAAUGGCAUCCACAGUAUCAAUGGGGAACAGUAAGCACCGGAUCAACGUAAAGACUAUAGAUCAGAAAUUAUUAAUGGGAUCCAUCAUUGCAGCUCACCUUCGGGUAGCGACAGUCGCCAGUUGAAAAUAGUGGGGUGACGCAACGACAUCUCGGACAUGGAAAUUCUGCCUUUGUGCUUCAAGUUCUGGACUAUAUGUAGUCUUUGGAGACCAGUUCGUUAUUAUUCUUCGGUGUCAAAAUUCUUUUACGACUCCUACAGUUGCGUGACGGUUCUUGUGUUGUUUAGUUUCACGCUUCUAGAAUUCGUAGACAUCGCCUUGAAUUUUGGAAACGUCGAUGACUUUACGAGUAACGCUUUUCUCUUUUUAACGAUGAUUGGCGUGUGUUACAAAGUGGCGCAUACCUUUAUGAAACGUUUGCAAAUUAUUUGCAUAAGAGACAUGCUGUACGACGAGAUCUGCAGACCUGAAAAUAUGGAGGAACAGAGAAUACUUGAUAAUUGUGCUAAUGCCUGUAGAUCCAAUACGGUAAAUCUUGGGAUAAUAAUUAUGAGUUCCAUAGUGUUUUUUCUUGUGGGACCACUAUUGCAUGAUGUCAAUGACCGCGUACUGCCGUUUAGAGCAUGGCUGCCGUACAGUCUGUCAUCGUUGCCAGUAUUUUACCUGACUUAUCUCCAUCAAAGCUUGGCGAUAAUAUCUGCUGGUUUGGUGUCCGUGGCAAGCGAUACAUUUAUAUCCGGAUUAAUGAUUCAGGCUUGUGGCCAGUUGGAUAUUCUAAAAUGUCGUUUAGCCAAUUUGCAUGAAUCGCACAAUUUCGAAAUGGCUAUAAAUGAUACAUUCCAUCGGGAGGAGACUAUUCUCAAAAUGUGUAUUAGGCAUCACAAUCAUAUAUUCAAAUUCGCAGCUCUCGUGGAAAAGACUUUUAAUCAUGUAGUACUUUUUCAAUGUUUUAUAAGCGCCUUCGUUGUUUGCACCACUACACUUACAUUAUUGAAUCAUCAGUUACUGAGUAUUGAAUUCAUUACUAUAAUUGUGUAUUUUCUUUCAAUAGUCUUUCAAUUGCUUGUAUAUUGUUGGUAUGGGAAUGAAGUAAUUUUGAAGAGCAUCGAAGUCACAGAUGCUGUGUUUGAAAUGGAUUGGAUUCGUCUACCUGCAUUAAUGAAAAAGGAUUUAAUAAUGAUUAUGAUGAGGGCUGAGAGAGCAAUCAAGUUCACCAGUGGAUACGUUCUCACUCUGUCUUUGGAUUCGUAUGUGGCUAUUUUAAAGUUAUCAUACACUACAUUUAAUGUAUUGCAACGAUCAUCUUAGAACGAAUAUGCACCCUAUGCACUUUCAAAUGCAAAGAUAAGCUUCUUACCGAUUUUUAUUAUUGCACUGUACCGAAACAAAAAUAAUUAUAAAAUUAGUAGUUCGUUGUUAUUAGGACCUGUUGGGCAACAUGGCUUUUGCCCGGACGUGACAGGGCAAAUUGGAUCUAUCGACGACGUCGGCGCUCCGACGGAACUCCGAGUGACAGAGGGAGGAGACGGCCGACGAGGAGGAAAAUUACCAACCACCGCCCGAGCGACGAGGAAGAAAGGUACGGUUCACGGUUCGCGCAACGACAUCUCGGACAUGGAAGUUCUGCCGUUGUGCUUUAAGUUGUGGACAUUAAGCGGUGUUUGGAGACCAAUGCAUUAUUCUUCUCCAGUGUCAAAAUCCUUGUACACUGUUUACAGUCUUGCAGUACUUAUUACACUGUACAGUUUGACGUUUUUCGAAUUUCUAGAUAUUGUAUUUAAUUUCGGUUCUCUCGAUGAUUUCGCGAACACCGCCUUUUUACUUUUGUCGAUGAUAAUAAUCUGUUGUAAAGCGACAAAUACUCUGAAAAAACGUGCCCAAAUUAUUGAGAUACAUGAUUUGCUGAGGGCUGAGAUAUGCAGAGGUCAAAAUACGACGGAGAAUUUAAUGCUAGAGAAAUUUGCCAAAACCUGUAGAUCCAAUACACUAAAUCUUUUCACAAUGAUGAUGUCAUGCGCAAUGUGCUUAACUUUGGAAUCGUUGCUAUAUCACGUGAAUGAUCGUCUACUGCCAAUGAAAAUUUGGUUGCCAUAUAGUCUUUCGUCUCUGACGUUAUUUUCUCUGUCGUUUCUGUACCAAGUAGUGACUAUGACUUUGGCUAAUGCAAUUACCGUAGCAAAUGACACGUACAUAACUGGCUUAAUGAUUGAGAUUUGCGCCCAACUGGAAAUAUUAAAACUUCGUUUGGUCGAAUUACAUGACCCCAAGACUUUACAAAUGGAUGAGAAUUAUUCCUUCAAUCGAGAGAAAGAUAUUCUCAAAAUGUGCAUUCAGCAUCACAAUCAUAUAUUCAAAGUGAAGGCAAAUGUUGAAAAAGCAUUUAAUUCGAUAUUUUUAAUUCAGAUUGUUACAAGCACAUUGGUUUUCUGCGUCACAGCACUAACCUUCUUAAAGCACGAGAUAUUAAGUGUUGAAUUGGCCAGUGUGAUUUUGUAUUUUUUUACAAUGAUGUUCCAACUGUUUUUAUUUUGUUGGUACGGAAACAAAGUUAUUUUAAAGAGUACCGAAGUAAGGAGUGCUGUAUUUGAAAUGGAUUGGAUUCCUUUACCUCAAGCAAUUAAAAAGGAUUUAAUAUUUCUUAUGAUGAGAACCAACAUACCAAUCCGAUUUACCAGUGGAUACGUUGUCACUCUGUCUUUGGAUUCGUUUAUGGCUAUUUUGAAAUUAUCGUACACCACAUUUAAUUUCCUGCACCAAUCAUCAUAGAACUAAUAUGCACACUAUGCACUUUUACAUGCAAAGAUAAGCUUCUUAUUAAUUGUUAUUAUUGCAUUGUAGCG